rnacentral:rRNA from 1 species
CCUGCCCAGUGAAAGUUUAACGGCCGCAGUAUCUUGACUGUGCAAAGGUAGCAUAAUCAAUUGUCUAUUAAUUGUGGACUAGUAUGAAGGGUUGAACCUACUUAGACUUUUUUGAUUUUAAAUUUAUGAAUUUUUAUUUCUAGUAAAAAUACUAUGAAUGGGAGGUUUAGACGAGAAGACCCUAUUGAGUUUUAUAUCGAGAGUAUUGUCUGUAGCUGUAAGGAAUUAUUAAGAUAAGUUUAGAUAUUUUGCUGGGGCGGUAAGUGAUUACCUUAAGAAGAUUGGUAGGAGUAAACMUCUUGUAUUAUGCUUUUUAGAUCCAUAAAAAGGAAAAUAGUAAAUAUAAUGAUUUUAUGAAUAAAUUACUGUAGGGAUAACAGCGUUAUGCUAGUUAAGAGUUCUUAUUGAUACUAGUGUUUGCGACCUCGAUGUUGAUUUAAGAUUCCUUCUAGG